rnacentral:misc_RNA from 2 species
AAGUCGUAACAAGGUCUCCGUUGGUGAACCAGCGGAGGGAUCAUUACUGAGUGUUACAACUCCCAAACCCUUUGUGAACACUACCAUUCGUUGCUUCGGCGGGACCGCCCCGGCGCCUCUGCGCGCCGGAACCAGGCGCCCGCCGGGGACCCGAAACUCUUGUUUUGUCAGUGGUAUUUUCUCUGAGUGGCAUAAGCAAAUAAAUUAAAACUUUCAACAACGGAUCUCUUGGUUCUG